rnacentral:rRNA from 1 species
UACGGGGGCAAGGCGUUGUUCGGAAUUACGUGGCGUAAAGGGCUCGUAGGCGGCCAACUAAAGUCAGACGUGAAAUCCCUAGGCUCAACCUAGGAACUGCGUCUGAAUACUGGAUGGCUUGAAUCCGGGAGAGGGAUGCAGAAUUCAGGUGUAGCGGUAGAAAUGCGUAGAUAUCUGGAGGAAUACCUGAGGCGAAGGCGGGACUA